UACGUAGGGUGCGAGCGUUAAUCGGAAUUACUGGGCGUAAAGCGUGCGCAGGCGGUUUUGUAAGCCAGAUGUGAAAUCCCCGGGCUUAACCUGGGAAUGGCAUUUGGGACUGCAAGGCUGGAGUGUGGCAGAGGAGACUGGAAUUCCUGGUGUAGCAGUGAAAUGCGUAGAUAUCAGGAGGAACACCAAUGGCGAAGGCAGCUCACUGGGACGGUACUGACGCUGAGACGCGAAAGCGUGGGGAGCAAACAGG
rnacentral:rRNA from 1 species